CCCGACUUCUUCGGAACGAGGAGCCUUGCGACUGAGUGGCGGACGGGUGAGUAACGCGUGGGCAACCUGCCUUGCACUGGGGGAUAACAGCCAGAAAUGGCUGCUAAUACCGCAUAAGACCGAAGCGCCGCAUGGCGCGGCGGCCAAAGCCCCGGCGGUGCAAGAUGGGCCCGCGUCUGAUUAGGAAGUUGGCGGGGUAACGGCCCACCAAGCCGACGAUCAGUAGCCGACCUGAGAGGGUGACCGGCCACAUUGGGACUGAGACACGGCCCAGACUCCUACGGGAGGCAGCAGUGGGGAAUAUUGCACAAUGGGGGAAACCCUGAUGCAGCGACGCCGCGUGAAGGAUGAAGUAUUUCGGUAUGUAAACUUCUAUCAGCAGGGAAGAAGAUGACGGUACCUGACUAAGAAGCCCCGGCUAACUACGUGCCAGCAGCCGCGGUAAUACGUAGUGGGCAAGCGUUAUCCGGAUUUACUGGGUGUAAAGGGAGCGUAGACGGCGAUGCAAGCCAGAUGUGAAAGCCCGGGGCUCAACCCCGGGACUGCAUUUGGAACUGCGUGGCUGGAGUGUCGGAGAGGUAGGCGGAAUUCCUAGUGUAGCGGUGAAAUGCGUAGAUAUUAGGGGGAACACCAGUGGCGAAGGCGGCCUGCUGGACGAUGACUGACGUUGAGGCUCGAAAGCGUGNGGAGCAAACAGGAUUAGAUACCCUGGUAGUCCACGCCGU
rnacentral:rRNA from 1 species